CAACAGCCCCCACUGCCCCAGAAGCAGGAGCAGCCUCCUCUUGGCGUCUGGGAGCCCAGCUUGGACGGAGGACCGAGGGGUCUGGCCCUCUGCCUGGCGUAGGGUCAUGCAGCUCAGCCGGAUCCAGGCCCUGCCUGCAAGAUGUCACAGCCUAGCAGGCGGUGGAUGCACAGUCCCACCGGGACAAGUCCUGGGACAGGCAGCUGCAGGAGGACCACAGGAGGCAUCUGGAAGGACCGGACACAUCUGGAAGGAAGGAGACAUCUGGAAGGAUGGGACACAUCUGGAAGGAAGGAGGCAUCUGGAAGGACAGGACACAUCUGGAAGGAAGGAGGCAUCUGGAAGGACAGAACACAUCUGGAAGGGUGGCCGGGUGUGAUGGAGGGAGGGAACACAUCACAGUUUGGAGGAUGGGUACACGUCUGCUCAUCUAACGAUUCGCUGUACACAUCCAUCACGCAUGUCUCACAGCCGAAGUCUGGACACAGCACGGUCCGUCUGCAGGGCGGGCAGGCCCGCUGCCCCCACGAGGCCCCACCCACCCCUUUUACUCUUUGGUGCUUUUUCCACAAAUUCAAGCGGUUAGGAAUAUAUGUUUUUAUCUUCCCUCUCGUUCUUUUUUCUUUUCUUGGGGGCAAGAUUUGUCAUUUUAACCAUUUUUAUUUUGUUUCACUUGUAUUUGCACUUCUUUUAUGCUGGAUUUAUUCCUGGGCCACAAGUUUUUGUUUCUUUGAU
rnacentral:lncRNA from 1 species